rfam:Triticum aestivum genome assembly, contig: Triticum_aestivum_CS42_TGACv1_scaffold_519871_6BS
UGUGUACUCCCUCCAUUCCAAAAUACUUGACUUCCAUUUGUCCAAAAAUGGAUGUGCCUAUAUACUAAAACAUGUCUAGAUACAUAUAUAUUUUGACAAAUAGAAGGCAUGUAUUGUGCAACGGAGGGAGUAGAAU